rnacentral:rRNA from 2 species
CCCGCUGAACUUAAGCAUAUCAAUAAGCGGAGGAAAAGAAACUAACAAGGAUUCCCCUAGUAACGGCGAGUGAAGCGGGAAGAGCUCAAGCUUAAAAUCUCCGUGCAAGUUUUGCGCGGCGAAUUGUAGUCUAUAGAGGCGUGGUCAGCGUGGGCGCUUGGGGCAAGUUCCUUGGAAGAGGACAGCAUGGAGGGUGAUACUCCCGUUCAUCCCUGAGUGGCUCGUGCGUACGACCCGUGUUCUUUGAGUCGCGUUGUUUGGGAAUGCAGCGCAAAGUAGGUGGUAAAUUCCAUCUAAAGCUAAAUAUUGGUGCGAGACCGAUAGCGAACAAGUACCGUGAGGGAAAGAUGAAAAGAACUUUGAAAAGAGAGUUAAAGAGUACCUGAAACUGCUGAAAGGGAACCGAAUCGUUUCCAGUGUCUAUAAUCCGUGGCAUAUUUCAUUGGCGAGUGUGCGCGUGCGUGUGCUGUGGCAGUGGCUUUUUUGGCUGCGCUCGGUGUGUGUGCUGUGUGUGCUUGCUGGUGCCCUGUGCUGCGGUGGGACGUCAAGGUCAGUUCGUAUGCUGCGGGAAAUGGCUGCCGAGGAGGUAGGGCUUACGCUCCGCGUUUGUCUGUUAUAUCUUGGUGGACGAGUCGUCGCGGUUGGGACUGAGGUGCCUACAACGUGCUUUUGAGUGGGUUUGUGUCUCCGUGUGCGCCGUGUGCGGAUAGCUUGCUAUGCGUGUGUGGUUGUGUGUGGAUUGAUGCGGGCUUUAACUUGUCGCCGUUCGGGACGUUGACGAAAUGGAGCGAUCCGACCCGUCUUGAAACACGGACCAAGGAGUCUAACAUGUGUGCAAGUGUUAGGGUGUGGAAACCCCAGCGCGAAAUGAAAGUGAAGGGCAGCGCAAGUUGUCUGAGGUAGGAAACGUUGCGGGCUUCGGUCUGCGGCGUGGCACUAUCGACCGAUCAUGAACCUUCGUGGUGAAAGAUUUGAGUUUGAGCACAUAUGUUGGUACCCGAAAGAUGGUGAACUAUGCCUGAGUAGGGUGAAGCCAGGGGAAACUCUGGUGGAAGCUCGUAGCGAUUCUGACGUGCAAAUCGAUCGUCAAACUUGGGUAUAGGGGCGAAAGACUAAUCGAACCAUCUAGUAGCUGGUUCCCUCCGAAAUUUCCCUCAGGAUAGCAGCAACUUAUUUACGAUAGUUUUAUGAGGUAAAGCGAAUGAUUAGAGGAUUCGGGGAAGAAACUUCCUCGACCUAUUCUCAAACUUUAAAUCUGUAAGACCUGCAGGUUUCUUAAUUGAACUUGUGGAUGUGAAUAUCAAGUUGCUAGUGGGCCAUACGGGGUAAGCUCGUCUGGCG